ensembl:lncRNA
CCCUGCAUUGCUGCAGGGCAGCACAGUGCAGUUAGACAGCACCUGGAGUCCUCUUGACAAAUUCGAUUGAUUGCAGCAGAAAUGAGAAGGAAAGCUGUAAACAAGCUGCCAUUGAUUGCUGGAGUGGCAUUGGCUUCACAGGGAACUUGAAGUAACAUCAGGUUUGGGAACUGCAGCCACACGAAAUAACAAAGAACAACGGAUGUCUGCAUUUCUGAAGGGUUUGGAUUGAACUUUUACAAGCAUUGGAUUGUGCAUCAGCCGUUGCAGAAGCACCAUUCCUCAUUUUCUGUGGAGAAAGAAACAGCAGCAUUUCAUGUUCACCUGGAUGUCACACCUGGAGCUGGGAUGCCCCAGUGCUACCAUCUCACAGUGCUCUGCCAAUGGGACUGCGGGCAGUGCAUGCUGCCAGCAGCUGCUCACAUUGCACGGAAGGAACCUUUGCACCUCAUGGGAGCACGGACAGGAGUGUGUCCCACUGUGUCCCUGCCUCCUGCCCAGCUGGGUCAGUGGUGCUUUGAAGCUGGUCCGUGUAUUGGUGGUAGCUGGGCUGCUCUCCUUGUGCUGCUGAAGACUGAUCCAGGCUCAUGUCCCUGCUCAUUGCAGGGGAGCUGGACUGGAUGGCUUUUAAAGGUUCUUUCCAACUCCAAGGAUUCCAUGAUUCUCUGAUUGAGUACUUGAUACAACACUGCUUCCCUGGGGUAAAGUUAAACUCAUUUGUUCCAACUUUCUCAUUAGCUUACAAAAGCACUUUUCUCUCAUUCAUUCACACCUAAAUAUUGCACUGCUGUCUUUACAGCUGCAGGAAUGCCCAUUGCCUCUCUGACCAUUGUCCCUGCUGACAGUGCCUGUGCCCCAUCUCCCCAGACACGGUCACGCUCUACCCCCUGGUGAAACAGAAGGGCACCCACCUCUGUGUGUGUGAGGGAGAGGGCUGUGACAAAUUUCAUUUGGAUGUGAUUCAAUGAAUAAAGUACGAGGCGAUGUGCCCAGAGUGACUCAUCUGUGUGCAUAGCUGCUGGCUCCAUGGGUCUGAUGGCCGAGGGCUUUCUUGGUGAGAUGAAGUGUGAAUGCCUCCUUAGGCACGAGGCAGUAACUGCCAUGCCCAGGGUGAGGAAGCCCACUUCUGCACAGCUGCUCAUGGGCCACAGCUGGACAGCUGUGUUGUUAAAGACACAGGAAGUCUUUUUCACUGUUCCUUUAGGCAUGGGAACAGGCCACAAGCUGUCCCAGUUUCCCAUUGAAGGAAGAGCUGAGGUUUGGUGUGUGCCCAGUGGUGCCCGGUGGGAGCAGAGCUACACCAUUGGGCUGAGCCGCUUUGGGGAAUGGUGUUUAUUUUUCAUUUGGAGGGAUUUUUCCAUGUCUUCUACCCCAUGAUUAAAAGCACAGCCAGUUGCACAUCUGGUUUGCAAGGUCAGAUGCAGAACCAUCAAAAUAUUACAAGAAAGACUAUUGCAAGGUUUUAAAUUUUCCCCUGCCAAAGCUGAUAUUGGAAGGAAUACUUCAUGAAAGCCCCCUCGUGUGACAUUUCUAGCUAGAAUCAGAGAUCAAAGACCUAUUCCAUUUUCAGACUCAGGUCUUGCAUUAAAAUGUUAACCUUUUUUUUAAUGUUUCACCAUUGUAUUUGAAAUCUGGUAUAGGAGUUCAGCCGGCACAGAACAUUUCUUAGUAAGAUAUUGUAGGAAAUGAUUGAUUUUUUUCUGCAGAGAAGUUCAGCUUGUAUUAGUGAGCUGCUGGGUCAUUUGGCAAAGAAAGUUCUGGGAAAAUGACAGGUCAGAAGAACUGAUGAAGCCUGGAAAGGCACGAAGCGCAGCAGCUCCUGUUCACGGGCAACUGGAAGUGAGAAGAAUUUCUUGUAUGCCUCACUGUUAUUAAAAUAUCAAGUAUCCUUAGCUGCCAAU